ensembl:lincRNA
AUGGAACCCGAGCCCCCUGCGCUGGAAGCUCUCAGAGUCCUAACCCCCAGACCUCCGGGGAGUCCUUGGAGGAGCGCCUUGCGGGGACGAAGCUGGGAGGCGGCCGCUGGGCCAGCAGCGGCGGCGGGGGAGGGAGCGGUCUCUGCGGUGGGGACGGCUCUGUGUCUUGCUCACGUGCUGGUGACACGCAUGAUCACCCGACGAGGGACAGCAGCCUGGGGCCACGUCACAGCGUGUCAGCACACAGCCUCGGUGGCCACAGGAGGUGCUGCCGCGGGGGCGGCCGGGGAUGGGCCGGCGGAGGUGGCCCCUGGAGCCGCUUCCUUUAAGCCCACCUCUGUUGCCGCUGCUGUUCACUCACUGAGUCGGCCCGGCUCCCUGCGACCAGGCUUCCCGGCCCCUCAGCGUCUCCCAGACUUCGCCCAGACUCGUGUCCUCCGUCGGCGACACCAUCCAACCGUCUCAGCAUCCUCCUGUUGCCUUCUGUCUUUCCCAGCAUCAGGGUCUUUUCCAGUGUGUUCAUUUCAGAUUAAAUUGCAAAACGGUUUUCUCACUUUCCGUCUGUGUGUGUUGGUCAGGAGAGCCCAGAGCUUUGUGCUUCGGGUUAGAGACAGUGAACGGCUUGCUGUUUCUCCGUCGUCCGUCUGCCCUGCUUCUGGGAAGGGAGCCACACCCUGGAGCCUCAGACCUGAGCGUCCUCCCCCAAACUCCCCAACUCCUGCCCAGAGCCCCUCGCCUUCCCUCUCACCGGACGGUGCUCGGGGCAGCACGGAGCCCCAGCAUUCGCCCACAUUCACCUGUCAUGCCCUCACGCCUCCCCAUCCCACCCCAGCACUGAGCCUCCCGGGUGGGUGGGGGCCGGGCUGGGAGCAGGGCGCUUCCGUGAGUCCAGCCCUUGCCAGCCCAGGAGGAAGGGGGGGGGCGCGGGCCCUGUCCAUUGGAGUCUACUCCCCAUCCCCAUCCACUCCCCUCACCCCCGCACAUCUCUGGCACGGCCCCCGUCUCACCCACUAAGCUGAUGAGACUCUCCGCUGCUGCAUGAUGGGAACUGGGGGUGGGGACAGUGGGGAGCAGGCCAGGGCCACUGGGCCCCGUGGCGGGGGCCCCCUGCCCAUUCAGACACAAGCAGAGCCCACGAAUCGCCCUCACACAGCCCACAGGCCCUGCGGACACCCUGACACCCUCAGCUGACACCCCAGAUCCUCGCAGACAGCCCUCCAGAAUCACACCCACACGCAUCACACCAAAACAACCACGUUCCCACACACACACACGCGCACACACACACCCAGCACGCGGUGCAGUCACGGGGCUGCCGCCACAGGCAAGUCAGCUUUGCACAGACACACCCGGGGCACACCAGGCACCCGGAGCUGCUCACACACGCACCCGGGGGUUGGGGCGGGUGCAGGGGGCUUCACCCAGAGGGGUGCCCCCCGCCCCUGUCCACUCCGCCCCCCACACCCCCACCCCGAUCUCACACAGCCUUCACCUGCAGGGCCACCCUCUGCCCAAGCACAGGGCCUGCCCCUGCGAACCCUCAGGAGUGGAGAUCCUGGCCCAGCCUCACCGGCCCCCGCCCCCCUUACGGGAGCCCCGACUGGAUGCCUGGGACCCCAUGGUGAGGAAGGCAGCCUGUGUGUCCUGCCCAGGUGAACGCUCAGUGGGGAGUGGACACGUGCAUGUGGCAGAGGUCCUGGGACAGGGCCGGCCAGCUGGUGGGGCCCAGGGAACGGGGAGCAGCAGGCCUUUGCAGUCGGGGUGUACCUCUGUGCUAAGUGCGGUGGAGCCCUGGCAGGGCCCUGGCUGGGAGCUGGGGCAAGACCUAAGGUGGCCCCUCAUCUCCAGAUCAGGGUGCCUGGGCCCCAGCGUGCUGACCUGGAGCACCGGGCCCCAGCGUGCUGACCUGGAGCACCGGUGGAGGUCAGGCCCGCCUGGACUGGGUCUUGGCUGGCUCUCCACGGUGGAAGGUGUGGCUGGCUCUCCAGCAGUGGAAGGUGUCCCAGGGCCGGGGGCUGGAGGGGCCGGAAGAGUGGUCACUGAGGACCCUGACUGCGGGCAGGGACCUUCUCUCAAAAACAAAGGGGCGUCUGCAGAGGGCAGCGGUCAGUGGGAUCCCCCAGGAGACCAGAGCCGAGCGUCCAGGCGAUGGGCUGGGGCAGGAGAGGCCAGGACACAGGAGGACAGACAGACGGAUGGGCCUGCACGAGCGGCGGAAAGUCGGGGGUCGGGGCGUGCCUCGCUGCUCCCCCUCGCGGGCUCNNNNNNNNNNNNNNNNNNNNNNNNNNNNNNNNNNNNNNNNNNNNNNNNNNNNNNNNNNNNNNNNNNNNNNNNNNNNNNNNNNNNNNNNNNNNNNNNNNNNCGGGGGCCCCCGGGGGAGCACAACCGUCGGGGCUUCAGGGUGGUGGGGAUGCCCACCCAGGGCACGGUCAGUGGGUGGAGCCUGUGGAGCCCAAGUCUUUCCCCAGACCCCACAGGGCUUUCCCCAGCCCAGCCUCAGGGGUGAACCCCCCUGCAACCCCCCACACCCCCCCCCCCCUCCCCAGCCCGG